rnacentral:tRNA from 1 species
GGCCCGCUAGCUCAAUGGUAGAGCAGAAGACUCUUAAUCUUUUGGUUGGAGGUUCGAGUCCUCCGCGGGUCACCA